GUAGCUUUGGCAGUACAUAUCCUAAAAUUGUAAUGAUACAGAGAUUAUUAGUAUGGCCCCUGUGCAAGGAUGACACACAAAUUCAUGAAGCAUUCCAUAAAAGA